GCACAAAAUUCAUUAUUGUUAUAAAAUUAAAAUCAUGGCAAAUUCCACUCUACACAAGGAAAAAUAAUACAACCCAAUAAAUAAUUCAUUGACAUACAAAAGUUUUCAUUUUCACUUUUAUUUUAUUUUUCUCCCUCUAAACGAGUAAAGAAAAGAGAAGAAAGGUAAAUCAAAGAUGGGAUUUCCCUAUAUUCUUGAUUUAUUAUCUUCUCUGUAGCAACUAACAAACAAGCUACAAGUAAGCCCCACAAGAGGGGUCGGUUCAUUUUUCUGUUUCUCUUUUUCUUUUAUUUAAAUUACAGGAUCCCAUACGUCCAAGAAUCUUGAUCCAAAACCAUUCUUGGGCACUGAUUGAUAGGUGGAGGAUUAUGAUUAAUAGCAGCUACUUGCUUUCUAUCAUAAUCGGCAUCAUUGAUUAGCAAAUCCCAACAACUACUUAAGUCAUCACCCCACAAAUCAGUAUCAUUAACAGGCCACUCAAAAUCUGAGAAUUGAAAAUCUUCAAGAAAGUUAUUGUUCGAGCCAUGGGAAGAUGAUGAAGGCGAAGAAGUUGUCGUUGAUGAAGAAGAAGGUGCACAGGGGACCAACAUUUCAUGGGGUUCAAUUAAGGGAACUUCAUCUAUGCAAAAACCAUUAUUCAUUAACUCCAUUGUAUCAAAUGUGCUUAUCAUGCUUUUAUCUUCCUCUACCUUGGCUUCUUCGGUAAUGCUUGAUUGAAUAGAUGUUUCUGUUUCCUUCUUGUGUUCCAGUUCUGCCAUGGCGUUAGUGGAGCAAGAUUGUGCUUGUUGCUGUUCUUGCACUUCUUGUUGUUCUUGAGGUGGUGGUGUUUCAGUGGUAGGAAGUGGCUUGUGGGUGAGAGGAUCAAUGCCCAUUUUUCUAAGCUUUUUCUUGAUGUGCGUAUUCCAGUGAUUCUUGAUUUCAUUAUCAGUUCUUCCAGGUAAAUGAGACGCAAUCUUGGACCAUCUGUUGCCA
rnacentral:misc_RNA from 1 species